UCUAAUUUAUGCAUAAUUACAUAGAGUAAUAGCAUAAAUUAAUUAUAAUGAUCCUACAAGUCCAGGCUAUUUAAUAAAUCAAGUCAAUUAUUAGCUACUAGCUAAUAAUCCUUUAUAUAUAUUUAUAGGCUUAAAUUAAAAUAACUUAGCUCACUUUAACAAAAUUAAGGGUCCAACUAAAUUAAUAAUAGCACAAUAAUUAAAUUAAGACCAAUUUUAAACCAAAGCCACCACGGCAUUAACCAACCCAAGCCCAACAGUAAUUUAAUUUACAAAAGUCCAUCAGCUCUUAUUAGCCCAAGUAAUUGUUUAAGCCCAACUGUAAUUACCCAUUAUUCUUUAAUAAAUAAAAUCUAAUCUAAACAAAUUAAUCACCCUUUUCCUUUUCUUCUACGCAAUAGCAUCACUCUCUCCCUCUCUCUGCGUUCUCUCCUUUUUAUUUCUACUGGCGCUCUCUCGCUCUUUCCCCCUCCGGCAGAUGUCGCCGGUCCUCCCCGCCUCCGACGCGGCGAGGCCGGCCCUCUCCUUCCCCCCCAUCCUUUUCUUUCUUCCCUACUUCCUUCCCAAUUUCUAAAAUCCCCAAAUUAUAGGGUUUGCUGCCUUCCUUUUUCCCUCUGAAAUUCGCCCCUCCGGCGAGGCCCGCCACUGCCGCCGCUGUCUCUGUGGCACCACCGCCACCUCUGUCUCAGGAAUCGAUGAUUCAACUCCGGCGAGGCAGCCCGCCUCCUGAUCAAUGCUCAAGAUUCUAUUUUUUCCACCUUUCUUAUUGUAAAUUUAUGUUCUUUCAUUGAUUGAUUAUUGAAAAACUGAAGCUGUAAUGGUUGGGAAUCGUGCUGUGCUUAUAGAAAUUAGAGUUAGAGAUAUCUCUGUUUGUGCUUAACUGGUAUAGCUAUGUCUGUUUUCACUGCUUUUCUUUACAUACUGAAUAUACUGUAUUGAAUAAGAAAGACUACCUUCUUUGA